UCAAAGCAACAAUAAAAGUGAGCAUGAAAGAAAGAAUAUAUGCUUUAAAGGCUUAAUAUCUCACAAAAAUUAUGGCUUUUUAAUGUUUAACUUGUGAAUUUCAACUCAAGAUAAUACCUAAACUUGAGGAAACAACCUAAAAAUUUUAAUCAGCCAAGGCACUGAUGAGAGUGGAGGAGGAUACUCCGAUGGUGGUAGAGGUUGGGUUCCAUAACCACAGUGUUCAGCGAAGAGGUUCUCGUGGUGGUCGGGCAGGACAUGGCAGUCGUGGAGAACUUUUUCUAGUGGAGUUGCAAAUUCUUAAGUAAUAGUGAGCUUUG
rnacentral:lncRNA from 1 species